UUUUAUUUGAGAGUUUGAUCCUGGCUCAGGAUGAACGCUGGCGGCGUGCCUAACACAUGCAAGUUGAGCGAUUUACUUCGGUAAAGAGCGGCGGACGGGUGAGUAACGCGUGGGUAACCUACCCUGUACACACGGAUAACAUACCGAAAGGUAUGCUAAUACGGGAUAAUAUAUUUGAGAGGCAUCUCUUGAAUAUCAAAGGUGAGCCAGUACAGGAUGGACCCGCGUCUGAUUAGCUAGUUGGUAAGGUAACGGCUUACCAAGGCGACGAUCAGUAGCCGACCUGAGAGGGUGAUCGGCCACAUUGGAACUGAGACACGGUCCAAACUCCUACGGGAGGCAGCAGUGG
rnacentral:rRNA from 1 species